rnacentral:rRNA from 1 species
GAUCCUGGCUCAGGAUGAACGCUAGCGGGAGGCCUAAUACAUGCAAGUCGAGCGGUAGAGUGACUUCGGUUGCUUGAGAGCGGCGAACGGGUGAGUAACGCGUACACAAUCUACCUUUAAAGAGGGGAAUAGCCCUGGGAAAACUGGGAUUAAUGCCCCAUGGCAUCACGAGACGGCAUCGUUUUGUGAUUAAAGCUGAGGUGCUUAGAGAUGAGUGUGCGUCUGAUUAGCUAGUUGGUGCGGUAACGGCGCACCAAGGCGACGAUCAGUAGGGGGCGUGAGAGCGUGGACCCCCACACGGGUACUGAGACACGGACCCGACUCCUACGGGAGGCAGCAGUAAGGAAUAUUGGUCAAUGGAGGAAACUCUGAACCAGCCAUCCCGCGUGCAGGAAGAAUGCCCUAUGGGUUGUAAACUGCUUUUAUCUGGGAAGAAGAGUUGGGAUUUAUCCUGAUCUGACGGUACCAGAGGAAUAAGCACCGGCUAACUCCGUG